UGAGACCAGAGAGGGUAGGAGAAUUGCUCACCAUCUGACAGGGCUUCAGCCACCCCACACGUGUCUUGCUGCUUCUCUAACAGAAUAAGCCAUAAACGGCUAUGAUGCCGGGGCACGGGGCUCCGGAGCAGUGUCAGUGUAACGUGAUACGAGAGUGCAGAAGAAAGAGAGGUCCCUUCCAGCUAAGAGGAUCAGAGAAGGUCCCGAUGUUGCUCCUUGCAGCCACAGUAAAGGGCAUUCUCUUUUCCCCAAACCAAGGAGCUCACCUCAGUCUCUUUUCUGUGUAAGUGAAACACUUCCAGCUUCUGCACCAACGUCGAAGGCUAAACCCAAGAGAGGAGUGCCGCUGACUGCCGCUCGGAGCCACAGCAUCGCAGCGAGGCAAGGACCUACUCCUCCUCCUGUGACAUCCCGACAGGUGCUCACCCAGCUUGUGCUCACACAUCCUCAGUGGCAGGGAGCUCACUACCUCAUAAGGCAAGGAAAACAAAAUGGAAAAAGCCGAUCCUGCUUUGAAGGAACUCAGUUAAAGGGAGAGAUACAGAGGACAGCAGACACCUGUGCGGCCAUCGCUGAGUCUGCGCACAGAGGGAAUGAAAGUGCAAGGAGGCCUGUAGGGAGAAGGCGGGAGAGCCAGCCCCAGCGAGGGCGGGGCCGAGAGCUGGAGCAGCGGCUCAGGGCUGGGGAAGUGGAGGCUGAAUGCGAGUGGAAAGGAGUGAGAGGACUCACAAAGGCCUCCCGUGGCUGUGGGGUACAGCUGUGCACUUAUUUGUCUGUCUAUAUGACUGUAGUCUGAAUCCCAGAUUCCAAGUCACCGGUAGCGAGCACAGUGCCUCCCCAGAGUCAGUGCUCAAUUAUCAUUUGCUGAUGAGCUUUGAAUAAAGGGCCGAGUUCUCGGGGCUCAGGGCACAGGCGCCGUGGAGGUGGCGGGUGGCAGAGGCGUCUGCAAAGUUGGGGACGGGGCUGAGAAAGCUGGGGAGAGACGAAGAGAGCUUGCACUUUGAUGAAUGUGUAGAUAUUUCAGAGAAGCUUGGACCAGCAAUUUGGCCAAAAUAGCACCAAAAUGUGGGAAGCGUAAUCCUAGCUUUAUGCGCCAUAACUAAAUAUCAUUAAAAUCUGGUAGAUAAUUAAUACCCAAUAAAGGAAAGUUACAGUAAUUAUUUUAUAAUUUACCCAAAAUCUUAUUAUAUGUAGCAGUAUCUAAGGUCAGUUGUCUACCUCAACUUGAUGGUUUUGCUAAAUAAAUGACUAAAACAAAAAAGAUCCUUUAGUAAUAAAGGUUAAAAUGCAAGACUUGAAGUAAAGUAGAUUUAAUUUCUGAAUAUAGCUUUGCCACAUUCUGUGACCUUAGACAAUUAACCUAACCUCUCUGAUCUUUAGGCAUCCUUUCCAUAAAAUGGAGCUAAAAUGACAAAUUUCACUGUAAAUUAAAUGAUGUGUGUUUCAGUUACCUAUUGCUGCCUACCCAACCUCCUCUAAAGUUAGUACCUUGAAAAAGCAACUUCCUGAGUCUCUGGGCUCUGCCAGGCAGUUCUGCCGUGUGGCUGUGGGCAGAGCCCAGCUGGGGCUGGAGUCCUCUGAAGGUUCAGUUGCACUGGAUGUCCGAGAGGGUGCCCUCCUAGAGCUGGCAGUUGACGUCGGCCGGGAGCUCAUCGGGGCCUGUCGAUUGGAACACCUAAAAUGGCCUUUCCAGGGGGCAUGGAAUUCUCAUAGCCCUGGGGCUGGUUUCCAAGAGGGAGCAUCCUAAGAGCCAGCGUUACAGAAGACCUGGGCACAAAUUGCUUCUUGUGGCCUUGCCCCGGCAGUUCCAGAUCAUGAUUUCUGCUGUGUUCUGUUGGCCAAAGCAAAAGCGGAGUUUGCAACACAUUUUCAUUUCCAAAGGAUAAAAU
ensembl:lncRNA